GAAGGUUAACCUCCUCCCCCACCCUCAGUUCCUGCAUUACUAACAAGGAAUCUUAGGACAGUCAAAUGGCAAGUGGAAGGAGAAAGUUGAAUGGGACAACAACCAAGGAAGGGAGAGGCUAACCUCAUGUGCUGCAGAAGAGAGAAGGAAAGAGGCAAUUUGCUGAACGUCUACUUCCAACCACUCCCGGUGGCUGCUAUGGUUGGAAGCCCAUGAAAUCCCUUGGACUUGAAGCCAGGCCUUAUCAGGAGACC